UACGUAGGGUGCAAGCGUUGUCCGGAAUUAUUGGGCGUAAAGGGCGCGUAGGUGGCGGGGUAAGUUUGAUGUGAAAUCUCCGGGCUUAACCCGGAAAUGGCAUUGAAUACUAUUCUGCUGGAGGUUUGGAGGGGGGACUGGAAUUCUCGGUGUAGCAGUGAAAUGCGUAGAUAUCGAGAGGAACACCAGUGGCGAAGGCGAGUCCCUGGACAACACCUGACACUGAGGCGCGAAAGCUAGGGGAGCAAACAGG
rnacentral:rRNA from 1 species